rnacentral:rRNA from 1 species
CGUACACUCCUACGGGAGGCAGCAGUAGGGAAUCUUCGGCAAUGGGGGCAACCCUGACCGAGCAACGCCGCGUGAGUGAAGAAGGUUUUCGGAUCGUAAAGCUCUGUUGUAAGUCAAGAACGAGUGUGAGAGUGGAAAGUUCACACUGUGACGGUAGCUUACCAGAAAGGGACGGCUAACUACGUGCCAGCAGCCGCGGUAAUACGUAGGUCCCGAGCGUUGUCCGGAUUUAUUGGGCGUAAAGCGAGCGCAGGCGGUUUGAUAAGUCUGAAGUUAAAGGCUGUGGCUCAACCAUAGUUCGCUUUAGAAACUGUCAAACUUGAGUGCAGAAGGGGAGAGUGGAAUUCCAUGUGUAGCGGUGAAAUGCGUAGAUAUAUGGAGGAACACCGGUGGCGAAAGCGGCUCUCUGGUCUGUAACUGACGCUGAGGCUCGAAAGCGUGGGGAGCGAACAGGAUUAGAAACCCCGGUAGUCCCAUG